AGGGUUUGAUCAUGGCUCAGGAUGAACGCUGGCGGCGUGCCUAACACAUGCAAGUCGAGCGAGAAACUUUUAAAUGAAACUUCGGUAGAUUUUGAAAGCGGAAAGCGGCGGACGGGUGAGUAACGCGUAGGCAACCUGCCCUUUGCAGAGGGAUAGCAUCUGGAAACGGAUAUUAAUACCUCAUAAUACUAAACUAUCACAUGAUAGAGUAGUCAAAGAUUUAUCGGCAAAGGAUGGGCCUGCGUCUGAUUAGCUAGUUGGUGAGGUAACGGCUCACCAAGGCGACGAUCAGUAGCCGACCUGAGAGGGUGAUCGGCCACAUUGGAACUGAGACACGGUCCAA
rnacentral:rRNA from 1 species